GAUGAAGAACGUAGUGAAAUGCGAUAAGUAGUGUGAAUUGCAGAAUUCAGUGAAUCAUCGAAUCUUUGAACGCACAUUGCGCCCCCUGGCAUUCCGGGGGGCAUGCCUGUCCGAGCGUCAUUUCUGCCCUCAAGCCCGGCUUGUGUGUUGGGCGUGGUCCCCCCGGUUUAGGGGGGACCUGCCCGAAAGGCAGCGGCGACGUUCCGCCUAGGUCCUCGAGCGUAUGGGGCUUUGUCACCCGCUCGGGAGGGGCCUACGGGCGUUGGCCAUCCACCAUUUAUUUUUUUUACGGUUGACCUCGGAUCAGGUAGGAGUUACCCGCUGAACUUAAGCAUAUCAAUAAGCGGAGGA
rnacentral:misc_RNA from 1 species